rnacentral:rRNA from 1 species
GUCUCUUCGGGGAUGAUUAAACCGGCGCACGGGUGAGUAACACGUGAGUGACCUGCCUUUUAGACUGGAACAACUUACCGAAAGGUGAGCUAAUGCCGGAUGAGUUAUAUAAGUGCAUGUUUAUAUAGGAAAAGUUGGGGAGACCUGACGCUGAAAGAUGGACUCGCGUCCCAUUAGCUAGUUGGUAGGGUAAUGGCCUACCAAGGCGACGAUGGGUAGCCGGCCUGAGAGGGUGGCCGGCCACACUGGGACUGAGACACGGCCCAGACUCCUACGGGAGGCAGCAGUGGGGAAUUUUGCGCAAUGCUCGUAAGAGUGACGCAGCGACGCCGCGUGAAUGACGAAGGCCUUCGGGUCGUAAAGUUCUUUCGACAGGGAAGAAAAUGCCUAUAAGUAACUGUGUAUGUAUUGACGGUACCUGUAUAAGCAGCCCCGGCUAACUCCGUGCCAGCAGCCGCGGUAAUGCGGAGGGGGCGAGCGUUGUUCGGAGUGACUGGGCGUAAAGAGCACGUAGGCGGUGUUGUAAGUCAUUAGUCAAAGACUAGAGCUCAACUUUAGUAAGGCUAGUGAUACUAUAAUACUAGAGUAUCAGAGAGGAUUGCAGAAUUCCUGGUGUAGCGGUGAAAUGCGUAGAUAUCAGGAGGAAUACCGUU